AGACAGUUAUUUUGGUUUUCCUGCAUAUGGAAGGAGGACUGCACAGCUGAAAUAGGACCUGCAUGUCAUGUCACCUCCUAUAGCCACAAACAAGACCCCUUGUUUCCAGGCUAUUGGGGUAAAAAUAAUCAAAGAGCUGGUGUGUUCAGUGGUGUAACCUCAGUAUCUGAGGAGGGCAGCGAGAGGACAUGUAACCCUGGGAAGCUGGAUAACUCUCAGGUAACCCUGAGAAAGCUGGAGUCUAGGAAGACCUGACUGAAUGAACGAAGGCACUUGGCUUUUCAGAGCACACGUGGACCCUGUGUUUGCAUCAGUGGUGCCUGGGGAAGAGUCUCAGCCCUCUGACCAGCGGAAGAAAAACUGGUGAUGCUCUCUUUGCCUUUCCUGGGGGAGGUGCCAGCAUUGCUAGCAGAAGCAGAGGCUUUAGACCUUGGGAAUGGACCAGGAUACAUCUGCUUCUCUGGGAAGCAGCCCGAACCCUGGUGUUGCUAGAGUAUUUGAAUGGAUGCCCUGAGGGGUCCUCCUCUUUUUGCCACUAGGGAUACGAGAGUUUUUCUGAGGCUGGUGAGGAAUUGUGCGCUGUUAGUAAUAUUGCAAGUUUAGAUGACAAGAAAGGUGAAUGCAUAGGAGAAGUCAGGGAAUGGUGCAUAAAUGGGGAAAAUACAGCAUGAUUAGCAUCUUACAUGUGGGAUAUUUAAUCCUGUGAAUCAGAGAUUCCCAAAUAAUCUGUCCUACAGGCCAGUGCAAAUGAGCAUAUCCCCCAGAGCAGGGUAUUUGGAGUUAGUGUGAUUAACAGACUUCACGAUGGGGAUCUGCAUAGCACAGAUAAGAGGAGCAUAUGUGGGGAAGCACAAAGAAGGGUUUAGAAAGUAAUUACUUUAGAGAAGUCACCUAGUGACUUGGUCUCCCCUCUUUCCCAUCUCCCCUGACCAGAGCUGAAUCACUUUGACCAGCAACAUGCUCUUGUCAAUCCCUGCAGAUCCCUCUUGCAUCCUUGUGAAUCA
rnacentral:lncRNA from 1 species